rnacentral:snRNA from 1 species
AUAUAGUUUUUCUAGAAAAGUU